AACGAACGCUGGCGGCAUGCCUAACACAUGCAAGUCGAACGAGACCUUCGGGUCUAGUGGCGCACGGGUGCGUAACGCGUGGGAACCUGCCUUUAGGUUCGGAAUAACUCAGAGAAAUUUGAGCUAAUACCGGAUGAUGUCUUCGGACCAAAGAUUUCUCGCCUUUAGAUGGGCCCGCGUUGGAUUAGCUAGUUGGUGGGGUAAAGGCCUACCAAGGCGACGAUCCAUAGCUGGGCUGAGAGGAUGAUCAGCCACACUGGGACUGAGACACGGCCCAGACUCCUACGGGAGGCAGCAGUGGGGAAUAUUGGACAAUGGGCGAAAGCCUGAUCCAGCAAUGCCGCGUGAGUGAUGAAGUCCUUAGGGUUGUAAAGCUCUUUUACCCGAGAUGAUAAUGACAGUAUCGGGAGAAUAAGCUCCGGCUAACUCCGUG
rnacentral:rRNA from 1 species